CCCAACACCCUGAGUCAGAUGUAACCAAGUAUUGUGAUUGAGAGGACUUGAGUUGGUCAAAGGAAGCAGACCCACCUCUAAAGGUAGACAACUCGAGUUAGAGAGAGGAAAGGGAGAAAAACGACAACAGCCAGAUAUCGUAGCACGAGGACACUGAGCCAGCGAGGCACCGCACUGUACUGGCUGGAGCUGCACUGGAUAUUAGUGAUCAACACCGUCUCCAACAGGCUGCCCACCAUCAGAGCGAGGCUGAUGGAGAAGAAAACGUCUGCAGGAAUCAAAAACAGGAAGGAUUCAGUACACCUUUCAUUAAUGACAGGCAGCAGGUCGUUCAUGAUGAGCAGGAAGACGGUGUAGCCCAGGAUGAGGGUCAUCUUGAAGGAGGAGCGGUCCACAGUCUGGGGAGGCAGCAGGAAGCUGAAG